rnacentral:lncRNA from 1 species
GAUGAGGUACAAGGUUUUUUAGCGGUAGGUUUCGAAUAUUAAAAUGUCUCGAGAGGGUCAAAACGAGAGAGAGAGAGAGAGAGAUAUAUCUGCAAAACAACGAACUCUCCACGAUUCUCUCUCACACCGCUCUCCAAUCUAGAACAAACACAAUGGAGGCGGAGAAGAACGAAGAACUGGAAUGAUUAAGAUGAAGAUUAAACAAGGAUCUGUCUUUCAACUUAUCUAUAUGAAGUUGAACUCCCAUCUGCUUCGUUUUUUCACUGUUUUAUGAACAGGAGUGUCGCAUAUCAGGCUUCACAACGAUUUCAACUCCCCUCCCAGGUUAGCAAAUGGAAAAUGAAAGACGGAUGCACAUAAUGAGGAAUAAAAAGAAGGGGUCAGAGGUUUUCUCUAUAGCGUAUUAGUUGAAAUGAAAAUAUUUGACUAAGUUCGAAAAUACGAGUUUUCGUCAUCACUAUUCUUAAAGUGUUAUGUUUUAAGAGUUAUUGGGUUUUAUGUUUGGUUUUGGCCAUGAUGCUAAUCUCCGAUGUUUGAUAUUUGAUGAUAUGUGAAAGAAUAGGUGGUGUUCAUCUUGGGUUGGAUUAGGGCAUAGUAAAUGGGUGAUUUAGGACAUUUGUUUGGGUGUAAUUGUUAAUGUGUGUGACCUCAUCUAUGUCUGAUUAAGGGCUGGUGUGCUUGGGAGAUCGAUGGCUGCCGCAAGUGUUACAACAGGGCUCGGUAAGCGACCUGUUACAAGUGUUGCUUUUAAGAACCGAUAAAGUAUUUUUGGUUUCUUUCCACCCGUCACAAGUGUGUUUUGCCUGUUUAAAAUUGCUAAAAUAAAUGCAGCUGUGUUUUUGCGAAUGUAAAGUGUUAGUUUACAUGGUUAAAUUUGUAAAAAGUAAAGGAUAAAAAGGACAAAAGGCAGCUGCGUUUUUUUGUGAAUGUGGAGUCUUCGUAAUUAACAGACAACCAGAUCUCUGAUGUUAUGUUCCUUCAUUCUAGAAGUGUCAGGUACGAAUGUUUUUCAAACUUGAACCAUUUUGUGAACUUGUUUAAAAAUUAUUUUUAGUAGUAACUUGGAGAAUCGAUGAUGUUCAUGAUAUGAUAUACAUAGUGAAACAGGGGUUAGGAGAGUCAAGGAACCAAAGUGGAAGGAUAAUCAGGUAAGUUGAUAUUUCACCUUUUCCCUAAAAAAAGGUACACCUGUUUUCUUGAUUGGUGAAUUUAGACUGCAAAAUGAGAACUGAACCUUUCUGUUUUGUUUGAAAAAGGUUUGGUCAAAACUCAAAACUCUUGUUUCCUUUAUUUAUUUCUAAAUCAUCAUAGUUCAAAUCUCUCAUUUAAAGUUAAGCUUGGUCUUCUAAUCUUUAAACACCUUCAUGACUUUUUGGAUGACCAUGAACAAGUCUUUACUUGUUUUAUUGUGUAAAUGUAUUUUAAACCAUUAGAACAAUGAAAUUAAGUGGGGUUUGUAUUUUAUGGAUUUGUUGUGAAAUCAGUAGGUUACAUCUGUUCAUUUUUUUUUAUGAUUAGUGGUUUAUAGCUAAUGGAAUUAAGUAUUUUAACUCAUUUAAAAAGUGUUUUUCGAGACCAGUUAAUGACUUGUGGCUAAAUGCAAAGCAAUACUCAUAUUUUUAAAGUUGCUUCUAUUUCUUACUUUAACUCAUCUUUUCAACAUUCUUUUUUCUCCUGUAAUUACACUAAAAAACACUACAUUUCAUCUUUUUUUAGUUAAAUGAUAUUUUUUUAUAGUUUUAUCAUUACCUUUUCUCACUUCUACACUCGUAAUCAUUUUCAAGUUAUAUCAAAAAAUUAUAGAGGGAGAAUAGUGCAUGAGGGAGGGGUAUUUUAAUAUACCCAAAAAAUAAGAACUCUCCCCCCCCUUUAUUUAUUUACAAGAUAGACCCCUAAAUUAAGGAUAAUCUGGUCUUUUAAAUACUAUUUAUUUUUUAGUUCAUAAACUUAUUACACUUAAAUCCCUAACUUUUAAUAAAAUUAGAGUUGUAAGAUUUUCUAAAAUCCAUAGUGUAUUAAGUUUAUGAGUUUCCUAUCCAAUAGUAAUUAAGAUUUUGGAGUGUUCUGUUAAAGUUGUCAAAUUCUUUUUUUUUUAUAUAAAAGAACCACUAAAUUCAUUAACCGGGUUUUUUUAUCAGUCAACUCACAAGAACCCAAAAUUUUACACGAACUUGUAAUGGUACGAAUCCUUAGAUCAUGUCAAACAUAUGAACCCAAACGCCACAUAUCUAUUAGAGUAGACAUGAAACAUGGUACGUGUAACUGUUUGUGUUUUUCACAUUAAUACAUCAAAAUUAUAAAUUUUCCGUUCCAGAUAUUAAUGGAGUUAUAAAUAAACUUGAUUUUUGUACUUUUUUAAAAGUGUAUUUAUUUACUUAUAAAACAGAAACUAU